rnacentral:sRNA from 2 species
CUGUAUGUUUUUUAAGCAAUCCAAGGGCCGUACGCCCCCAGAUGCCAGAGGCGUUGAAAAAAAGUUCGCUACCUUGCGCCGCCCGAGUUUACUUACUACAAGUUAUGAGUAGUAUGUACGCCGGCUUAUUUCCCAGUUGGGAAA